UACGUAGGGGCCGAGCGUUGUCCGGAGUUACUGGGCGUAAAGCGCGCGCAGGCGGCUCGUCAAGCCUGACGUGAAAGCCCCCGGCUCAACCGGGGAGGGUCGUCGGGGACUGGCGGGCUUGAGGUCGGCAGGGGUUGGUGGAAUUCCCGGUGUAGUGGUGAAAUGCGUAGAGAUCGGGAGGAACACCAGUGGCGAAGGCGGCUCGCUGGGCCGGACCUGACGCUGAGACGCGAAGGCGUGGGGAGCGAACGGG
rnacentral:rRNA from 1 species